rnacentral:rRNA from 1 species
GACGAACGCUGGCGGCGUGCUUAACACAUGCAAGUCGAACGGAAAGGCCCUGCUUUUGUGGGGUGCUCGAGUGGCGAACGGGUGAGUAACACGUGAGUAACCUGCCCUUGACUUUGGGAUAACUUCAGGAAACUGGGGCUAAUACCGGAUAGGAGCUCCUGCUGCAUGGUGGGGGUUGGAAAGUUUCGGCGGUUGGGGAUGGACUCGCGGCUUAUCAGCUUGUUGGUGGGGUAGUGGCUUACCAAGGCUUUGACGGGUAGCCGGCCUGAGAGGGUGACCGGCCACAUUGGGACUGAGAUACGGCCCAGACUCCUCCGGGAGGCAGCAGUGGGGCAUAUUGCACAAUGGGCGGAAGCCUGAUGCAGCAACGCCGCGUGCGGGAUGACGGUCUUCGGGUUGUAACCCGCUUUCGCCUGUGACGAAGCGUGCGUGACGGUAAUGGGUAACGCAGCACCGGAUAACUACGU